GACGAACGCUGGCGGCGUGCCUAAUACAUGCAAGUAGAACGCGUUGCGAACGGGUGAGUAACACGUGGUAACCUGCCUCGUAGCGGGGGAUAACUAUUGGAAACGAGAGCUAAUACCCCCUACUUUUGGCUGGACCUGAUUUGGAUGAGCUAGUUGGUGAGGUAAAGGCUCACCAAGGCGACGAGACAUAGCCGACCUGAGAGGGUGAUCGGCAACACUGGGACUGAGACACGGCCCAGACUCCUACGGGAGGCAGCAGUAGGGAAUAUUGCACAAUGGGCGCAAGCCUGAUGCAGCCAUGCCGCGUGUAUGAAGAAGGCCUUCGGGUUGUAAAGUACUUUCAGCGGGGAGGCGUUACCCGCAGAAGAAGCACCGGCUAACUCCGUGCCAGCAGCCGCGGUAAUUC
rnacentral:rRNA from 1 species